GUGAGGGAAAGGCGAAAAGAACCCCGGCGAGGGGAGUGAAAAAGAACCUGAAACCGUGUACGUACAAGCAGUGGGAGCCCCACCACUAAGCCAGUGGUGAACUCCACAUCCGCAUCCUUUGCUGAGGAUACGGUUAACGGAGCGAAAGCGACGUUCAACCGCAAAACAAGCAGAGGGGGCUUAGUGGUGGGGUGACUGCGUACCUUUUGUAUAAUGGGUCAGCGACUUAUAUUCUGUAGCAAGGUUAACCGAAUAGGGGAGCCGGAGGGAAACCGAGUCUUAAUUGGGCGUUAAGUUGCAGGGUAUAGACCCGAAACCCGGUGAUCUAGCCAUGGGC
rnacentral:rRNA from 1 species